AUUUCGUUCAGUGUAGUAUGAAAAUGAAAGAGAAAGUCAAAAGUGCAUAAUACUGUAAAAAUGGUGGACAAAUUGGUGAACAGUGAAGCAAACGCACGUCGAAUACAGAUGGUGGAGAACUGUUUUGGCAGUUCUGGCCAACCGCUGUACGUUCCUGGUCGAGUCCUGGUUGGAGAAGGAGUUCUCACAAAGAUGUGUCGCAAACGUCCAAAAGCUCGUCAGUUCUUUUUAUUCAACGAUAUACUGGUCUACGGUAAUAUCGUUAUUGGAAAGAAAAAAUACAAUAAACAACAUCUUAUACCACUGGAAGAGGUUCAACUACAAGCACUGGAUGAUAAUGGACAAUAUAGGAACGGGUGGCUUAUACGAACGGCAACUAAAUCCUUUGCUGUUUAUGCUGCCACACAGACUGAAAAACAAGAAUGGAUGGCUCAUAUAAACAAGUGCAUUGAGGAUUUGUUACGCAAAAGUGGUAAAAAACCGGUAGAAAACCAUGCUGCUGUUUGGGUGCCUGAUAGCGAGGCUAAUAUUUGCAUGCAUUGCAAGAAAACUCAAUUCACAAUGCUGAUUCGAAGGCAUCACUGCCGAAAUUGUGGUGCGGUAGUGUGCGGGCCGUGCUCCUCGAAAAAAUUCCUCUUACCUGGACAGAGUACUAAACCGCUGCGCGUAUGCUUGGACUGUUAUGAUGGUCUGAGCUCAUUGAAACGUGAAGAGAACAAAGGAAUCAAUCCUAACAACAAUAAGCCAAUUACAUCCCCCGAAAGCUCCGGUGAUGACGAUUCUGAUGACGAAGAAGAAUCAAAAGAGACUCACGAUCAGAGCUUUAGGAGCCACUGCAGGCCCACCGUCGUAUGUGUGUGAUAGGAAAUGACAUCGGGUAAACCCGACAAAAUCAAGAAACCACAUAGCUUCAUACGUUACAUUAUGAAACGUAGAUAAAUUGAUGACCGAUUCAGAAGGAACGUGAUACCAGUAUAAGUUUCGAUCGUAUGUUUCAUUAGAAGAGCCUUACUGACUAAUCGUCAAAUAUAACUAGACCAAAAUUUUACGGAGACGAAAAACCUGAAAAGUAGCCACAAUCAUUUGUAAGCCGUUGUCCUCCUUAAUCAAACCCAAUUUGCAAACGUCUCACCAAUUCUGUAAGUUAGAGAAUAUAUGAAAAAUGUGUGGAAGCAGUCAUCGGUUAUAGUAUUUUAUCAAUCUAGUUUUUUUUUGGAAAUCGCAGCACCCAUUCUUUACAGUUUUAAACGUUGACCAAUAAAGAAUGUUUCUCCGCAUGUAUUUUUAAAGAAGUCAAUUUCUUUAUACGUCCAGUAAUUUAUUUUUAAUUCGAAUACCAGCAAUCAUUUAUCAAAAUUUACUCUUUUUAUUGACGAUGUACGUAUAACAGCACACAGCAGGGCCAUUGGAAAAAUCAAAAUAAAACAAAAAACCAUAAAAAUAUCAGAUCCCCUUCUAAAACUAAUGUCAAAUAUCUAAAUCAUGUUUUCCAUACGUUGAAAUUUAUCUGUCCAACUGCCUACUCACUAAGUUUUAUAGUAUUUUUUCUAAUCUAAAUGAAUACAAGGGAAGUGUAAUUCCAAGAGUAGCAGCAUGUUCCGGGUUGGCGGUUCAAUGCAUAGGACGCUGGUCUUACAAGCUGGUCGUAUGUUCGAACCCCGACCUGAAAGGAUUCUUAGUGUCAGUACGAUUCAUUCUGUACACUAAGAAUCGCCUGGGAAGUCUGUUGGAACAGAAAGGCCAAAUUCCACAAAAGGAAUGUAAUGCCAAGACUUUGACUUUUGACCAGCAUUCAAUUAAGGAAAUAAUGCGCAGUUUGUGCCAAUAACACUCAAGUAGCUGUCUUUUUACCAGAUUCAAAAAGCAGAAUCAGAUUUUAUCAAGCAAUAACAUGGCUGCAGAAAAAUGGUUAGCUUUUGAUAAUUAUAUGAUUUAUUCAUUGUCUAUUCUGUAUUACGAUAGAGUCGGAAUAUUUCGAUCGAAUGUAAAAUUUUGGAUCCUGUAAUUCGAUCGAGUGAUGCUUCAGUAUGGAAAACUCGAAUUCGAUCGAGAUACAGAAUGCUAAAUUUUGUAUUCGAUCAAAAUAAUCCGAUUCGAACGAAUUACAGAAUCGGUCUUACCCUAUGAUUUGAAUGUAUUUUUUCUGUUUUCUAACAGUUGUGCAGUUUGUUUCUGAACCAUUGUCCUCUUUGCCAGAAUUAAUGCUGCGCUCUCUUAUCAACUAAGUGUUAGUUUUUACUUUUCUACUCCCAAAAGAAUGUAGUAAAUUGUCAAUACUUAGUAUUUUUUUUCUUUUUUGCCUCAUGGGACUGGUGUUUUUAUGGACUUUUAUUUCAUAAGUCAAUUAACUAGUUCGUUUAGUAUAUUACUUAUCUCAAAUAAAUAACGCAAUUGAAGGCUCGAUAACAGACGAAUCAAAUUUUAUUCAUAUUUAGUUUCGUAAUAAUAACAAUAAAAUGGGUGAAUUGAAGGUGUGAUAGCAGUAUGUAAAAAUUGAGAUACAAACGUAAUGUACGAAAAUAGGUCAAAAAUGCAAUACGAGGUUUUUCCAAUUCAGAAACUAAAUAUUUUUUAAAGAAAAACAAUUGAAGUGUAUGUUCCAAUAUAUUGAUUAGAAUAUCGAUCUUCAUCAGUAAUGUUAUGUAGAUUUACAAA